GGGGAUUUGGCUCAGCGGUAGAGCACUUGCCUAGCAAGCGCAAGGCCCUGGGUUCGAUCCCCAGCUCCG
rfam:Rattus norvegicus chromosome 15, whole genome shotgun sequence.